rnacentral:rRNA from 1 species
UACGGAGGGUGCAAGCGUUAUCCGGAUUCACUGGGUUUAAAGGGUGCGUAGGCGGGCAGGUAAGUCAGUGGUGAAAUCUCCGAGCUUAACUCGGAAACUGCCGUUGAUACUAUUUGCCUUGAAUAUUGUGGAGGUAAGCGGAAUAUGUCAUGUAGCGGUGAAAUGCUUAGAUAUGACAUAGAACACCCAUUGCGAAGGCAGCUUACUACGCAUAUAUUGACGCUGAGGCACGAAAGCGUGGGGAUCAAACAGG